CGCACUCUCAGAAUCACUGGAGCUUGUCCCUUUCUCUGCCAUGGAUAUGGAGCUUUCCAAACGCAGAUGCAUGCGUUUCUUGUAAUGGAGUUCAUGAGUGGAGGGACCCUGGAACAGCUUAUAAAUAAGAGAGGUUGCCUGAACAGGGACAUCAUACAAUUCUAUUCUGCAGAGAUGAUCAUCGGUCUACAGUAUCUGCAUUCAU